rnacentral:rRNA from 1 species
UACGUAGGGUCCGAGCGUUGUCCGGAAUUACUGGGCGUAAAGAGCUCGUAGGUGGUUUGUCGCGUUGUUCGUGAAAACUCACAGCUUAACUGUGGGCGUGCGGGCGAUACGGGCAGACUUGAGUACUGCAGGGGAGACUGGAAUUCCUGGUGUAGCGGUGGAAUGCGCAGAUAUCAGGAGGAACACCGGUGGCGAAGGCGGGUCUCUGGGGCAGUAACUGACGCUGAGGAGCGAAAGCGUGGGGAGCGAAC